rnacentral:rRNA from 1 species
GACGAACCGUGCAAACGUUAUUCGGAAUCACUGGGCGUAAAGCGCACGUAGGCGGACUCUUAAGUCGGUGGUGAAAUCCUGGAGCUCAACUCCAGAACUGCCUUCGAUACUGAGAGUCUUGAGUCCGGGAGAGGUGAGUGGAACUGCGAGUGUAGAGGUGAAAUUCGUAGAUAUUCGCAAGAACACCAGUGGCGAAGGCGGCUCACUGGCCCGGUACUGACGCUGAGGUGCGAAAGCGUGGGGAGCAAACAGG